GCUUCCCGGGGCCGCUUCCCGGUCCCCUGGGUGGAGGCUGCCGUCUAAACCUGACUCCAGAGUUUAUGAUGCAAUGGCCAGAAGACAUGAGCGUGUCACUAGAAGGAUGUGGACGUGGGCUCCGGGGCUGUUGAUGGUGACGGUGGUCUUUUGGGGUCAUCAGGGGAAUGGACAAGGCCAAGUGAUGAAGAAGACAUGCCAACAGAGGGUUAGUUCCAGAUAAAAUGAAAUGUUCCAAACAGUAUGUAUUGUUUAUUUGAAUCAUCUG